rnacentral:tRNA from 1 species
AUUGGUGUAGCAUAACAGGCUAUUGCAAAAGAUUUAAGCCCUUUUUUUAAAGGUUCAAAUCCUUUCUCCAAUU